CGCUUGUUGUUGGGUGGGGCCAGUCUCUAGGGUGGGCUGUCUGCCCUGGCUGAGCUGGAUUAAAUCGGUGCUCUAGCGGGUGAGGCAGACCCUGGGCUAGCAGGCCUCAGGGAGAACUCCAAUGGUGUCUGUGUCAGCACGCCCACACCAGGCCUCAACAAUGGCCGCCGCCAAUGUCCCAGUCCCUGGAGAGGUCUCACCCCUCACCGAGAUGCACUCAGGGCCUAUUAUGUAUUGUGGGUGAUAAAAAGAUGAAGAAAAUGGCCUCUGCUCUUAAAGAAUCUACUGCCCUAAUAAGGAGAAAGACACAGCUGAUUUACAACUACUCAUGGAAAAAUUACCCCAGAGAGAGAACUGAAAACUGGAUAAGAGGAUCUCCUGCAACAAACGACAAUCCUAAUUGAGGUGGAAGAGGCAGAAACUCCCUUCUGGAGGGAAAAAACACCACCUCCACAAGGCGCAGCGUUUCACCACCACCCGGGAGCAGCCCAAAGAAAUCUUUGGAGAGAAAAUGGACUGGAAAACUGAAGCUCUUGAUUUGCAUUGGCCAGGGGCCUACUGGAAUUUAAGUCUGGUUAUAAGUCUAGAAGCAAAGAAGGGUGGUGGGGUGAGUUCUGAGGAGAAUCAGCAGUGUCUUGCAAGGCAACUAUCUCAGAAGAGGCCAUUAUAAUUUCCUCAGCGAAUGGGUUGAUAUGAGAAGGAGAUGCAAGACAGAAUUUUAGGAGACUAAUUUGGAUGCUAUUGCAAGUAUUCCAGGAUGAAUUGAGUGACUUAGUAUUUUGAUGGAACAAGGCAGAGGCUUCUUUUUGCUUCAGAUGGUGGAAUUGCUUUGCUCUGGUGGGCAGACAAGGACAGAAGUAAAGGAGUAAGACUAAUCAAUGCCCAGUUAAUGCUAGGGCAAUGAGAUCCAAGCCAGCUGAAAAUGGCUGUCUUUUCUC